GGAGGGUGCAAGCGUUGCUCGGAAAUAUUGGGCGUAAAGGGCAGGUAGGUGGUCUCAUUUGUCUAGGGUGAAAGCCUUGAGCUUAACUCAAGAAGUGCCCUGGAAACGGUGAGACUAGAGUUCUGGAGAGGGUCGUGGAAUUCCCGGUGUAGCGGUGAAAUGCGUAGAGAUCGGGAGGAACACCAGAGGCGAAGGCGGCGACCUGGACAGGGACUGACACUCAACUGCGAAAGCGUGGGGAGCAAACAGGAUUAGAUACCCUGGUAGUCCACGCUGUAAACGAUGGAUACUAGGCUUGGUGGGUCUUGACCCCCGCCGAGUCGGAGCUAACGCGAUAAGUAUCCCGCCUGGGAAGUACGGUCGCAAGACUA
rnacentral:rRNA from 1 species